rnacentral:rRNA from 1 species
CCUACGGGAGGCAGCAGUGGGGAAUAUUGGACAAUGGGGGCAACCCUGAUCCAGCCAUGCCGCGUGUGUGAAGAAGGCCCUCGGGUUGUAAAGCACUUUCAGUGAGGAAGAACGCCUGGUGGUUAAUACCCAUCAGGAAAGACAUCACUCACAGAAGAAGCACCGGCUAACUCCGUGCCAGCAGCCGCGGUAAUACGGAGGGUGCGAGCGUUAAUCGGAAUUACUGGGCGUAAAGCGCGCGUAGGUGGCUUGAUAAGCCGGUUGUGAAAGCCCCGGGCUCAAACUGGGAACGGCAUCCGGAACUGUCAAGCUAGAGUGCAGGAGAGGAAGGUAGAAUUCCCGGUGUAGCGGUGAAAUGCGUAGAGAUCGGGAGGAAUACCAGUGGCGAAGGCGGCCUUCUGGACUGAAACUGACACUGAGGUGCGAAAGCGUGGGUAGCAAACAGGAUUAGAUACCCUUGUAGUC